UACGGAAGGCAGCAGUGGGGAAUAUUGCACAAUGGGCGAAAGCCUGAUGCAGCUAUGCCGCGUGUAUGAAGAAGGCCUUCGGGUUGUAAAGUACUUUCAGUCGUGAGGAAGGUGUUAAGGUUAAUAACCUUAGCAAUUGACGUUAGCGACAGAAGAAGCACCGGCUAACUCCGUGCCAGCAGCCGCGGUAAUACGGAGGGUGCGAGCGUUAAUCGGAAUUACUGGGCGUAAAGGGCACGCAGGCGGUUAAUUAAGUUGGAUGUGAAAUCCCCGGGCUUAACCUGGGAAUGGCAUUCAAGACUGGUUAGCUAGAGUCUUGUAGAGGGGGUAGAAUUCCAUGUGUAGCGGUGAAAUGCGUAGAGAUGUGGAGGAAUACCGGUGGCGAAGGCGGCCCCUGGGACAAAGGACUGACGCUCAUGUGCGAAAGCGUGGGGAGCAAACAGGGAUUAGAUACC
rnacentral:rRNA from 1 species